CGUGGGGCCUGCUUUCUGUGUGCAGGGGCUGGGCAGCUGCACCAGUGUGGCCAUGACUACUUGGACGUCUGGGGCCGGGGCACCCUGGUGACCGUCUCCUCAGACACCGAAACGCAUCUGCACCCCUUGGUCUCAGAGUGUAAAGCCCCGAAGCAAGGCGACUCCAUAGGCCUGGCCUGCUUGGCACAAGGACCCUCCGUGGAGUCCGUGCAGGUCGCCUCGAGCUCGGGGCCGCAGACGACCACCAUGAUCACGCUGGGGGCCCGAGAGCACACGCAGCUGUCCUUCCUGUCGGUCCCCUGGAAGCCGGACCCGCACUUCUGCAGAGCCGUAGUUUCCGGCCGCCCGCAGCAGAAGCCCAUCCCGUGGCCAGAGUCCUGGGAAAGGAAGACUGACCCACCGGCUCACGGGCCGUCUCCACCGGAGACCUCCACACCCAGCGCUCCAGUGUCCUCCACCCGCCACACCCGGACACAAGCCGCGGAGUCAGGAAGCCCAGUGGACGCUACGCUCAGAGACUGCCGGAACCACACUCACCCUCCCGGCCUCUACCUGCCGCAGCCUCCCCUGCGGGGCCCGUGGCUCCAGGGAGAGGCCACCUUCACCUGCCUGGCGGUGGGUGCUGACCUGCAGGAGGCCCGCAUGUCCUGGGCGGUGGCCGGGGCGCCCCCCCGCGGGGCGGUGAAGGAGGAACCGCGGGAGGAGCACACCAACGGCUCCCAGAGCCUGAGCAGCCGGCUGGCCUUGCCGGUGUCCCUGUGGGCCUCGGGGACCAGCAUCGCCUGCACGCUGAGCCUGCCCAACAGGCCGGCCCAGGUGGCGUCUGUGGCACCGGGACAGCACGCGGCCGCUGCGCCCAGCAGCCUCACUGUCCGCGUCCUGACCGUGCGCCAAGCCGCCUCCUGGCUCCUGUGUGAGGUGUCGGGCUUCUCGCCGCCGGACAUCCUCCUCACCUGGCUCAAGGGCCGCACGGAGGUGGACCCUGCUGCCUUUGCCACCGCACGCCCCAUGGCCCAGCCUGGGAACAGCACGUUCUGGACCUGGAGUGUCCUGCGUGUCCUCGCGGCCCAGAGCCCAGGCCCGGCCACCUACACGUGUGUGGUGAGGCAUGACGCCUCCCGGAAGCUGUUCAACAGCAGCCAGAGCCUGGACGCUGGUCUGGCCACGACGCCCCCACCCCCCCAGAGCCACGACGAGAGCAGGGGGGACGCCACGGACCUGGAGGACGCGGGCGGGCUGUGGCCCACGUUUGCCGCCCUCUUCCUGCUCACUCUGCUCUACAGCGGCUUUGUCACCUUCAUCAAGGUGAAAUGAUGCUCAGCCUGCAUGCUGUCGCCAAGGGCAAAGGGGCCCAGCCCGGACUCCAGCCCCACCUCCGCCCACCCCCCGCGCACCGCAGUCCACCUCUGUCCAGAGCUCAGCGCCCAGGCCCAGAGAGGAGGGUGUCGCAGCCCGCGCACCCCCGAGCCAGCAGACCUCACUGCAGCCCCUUGCCUUCACACUGGCCGGCCGGCCCCAUAAACAACCUUGCUCGUUCCAUG